rnacentral:rRNA from 1 species
GAACUUAAGCCCCAGUAAACGGCGGCCGUAACUAUAACGGUCCUAAGGUAGCGAAAUUCCUUGUCGGGUAAGUGCCGACCCGCACGAAAGGCGUAACGAUUUGGGCACUGUCUCAACAACAGACUCGGUGAAAUUGUAAUUCCGGUGAAGAUGCCGGAUACCUGCGACAGGACGGAAAGACCCCAUGGAGCUUUACUGUAGCUUGACAUUGGGUCUUGGUACUACAUGUACAGGAUAGGUGGGAGGCUUUGA